GCUUACAGCCAUAUCACGUUGAAUGCACCGGUUCUCGUCCGAUCACCGAAGUUAAGUAACGUUGAGCCUAGUAAGUACUUAGAUGGGUGACCACUUGAGAAACCUGGAUGAUGCAAGCA
rnacentral:rRNA from 1 species